UCCUUCUGCAGAGAAGAGAGUGAAAGUGUGCUGACGCUGAAAGGCUUGACUCCAACCGGAAUGCUGCCCAGUGGUGUACUCUCUGGAGGAAAACAAACACUGCAAAGCGCUAUCAAAGGAUUUUCACCCCAGCAUAAGAUCACUAGCUUCGAAGAGGCCAAAGGCUUAGAUCGAAUUAAUGAGCGAAUGCCUCCACGCAGAGACGUGCCAUCCGAUGCCAACCUUAACUCCAUCAACAAGGCAAUCUCCACAGAGACUAAUGGCACAGACAGCAACGGCAGUAAUAGCAGCAAUAUUCAGUGACCACUGGCUGGGAGGGGGGUUGAGCUGCAGGGCACGAUGGGGUUGCUGCACAUCAGCAGUGGGAUGUUCUUGCCUCUGAUAACAGCUUACUUGCUCUGGGGGCCAGGUGUUGGAUUCAGUUUACAAAAAUCAUCUACAAAGAGAUCGUCAACUUUAAUUUGGUGGGAGGGGGGUGGGGGCGAAACACCUCCUUUGGAUAUGCCUUUAAAAUGCUUGUAGAAGAAUGAAAGCUCAUGCUGGCAUAUAUUGCAAAGUUAGGGGAAUGAACAUGUUUUCCUACUGCAUUGGGAAUGUCUAGGUAUGUUACUGAAAGGCCUUUUAUUAUGUUACUGGACAUGAAAACUUUGUUUAAUUUCUUACUAACUAUUGUACGUUUACAGUUGCAGCACUAAACAUGGACAACAUCAAAACAUUUUUAACAAAAUGUACAAACUAAAUAAGGACUAUUUAUUGAUAAUGUUUUGCUACUCUUGUCAGACAAUGGCUAUGAAAUAAAUUAGGCAGUCUUUAAAAACAUAGAGAAAAAAAGAAAAAAAAUGUUGGAAAUUUGUUUAAAAUGCCAAAAAAAAAAAAAGAGGAAGAGAGAGUGAGAGAGAGCGAGAGCGACAGUUUAAUUUUGUACAGAUUAUGCUUACCUCAGGUUUCUUUAGUGUGCUUCAAUGCCCUUCUUUAAAUAUAACACUUAUCUUACUAACUUGGCAGCAAUUAUCCUUUUCUUUGUUUAAAAAAAAACCAACUGGAAUAAUGAUAACAUUUAUCUUUUUUUGCUGUUUAUAUUUAGGGGGGUUUGGUUUGGGGGUUUUCCGGGUUUUUUUGGUAAAUCAAGUCUUGGUUGUGGCUUGCUGAAUUUAAAUAUUUGAGUGGUGCAUUUUUAAGUAUAGUGAACAAGACACCAUAUUAAGUGCAGUGAAAAGCAUCUAUAUUCUGUAAAAAUCUGCCUAUGCAUGUUUUUUAAGAAAAAAAAUGGCUGUAUAGGCCUGUAUGGGACUGUAAUGCGCUUAGUGGUCUGACUUAUACUGGAAAUGUAUGUAUACUGGCGUACUUUAUAUUCUCUAAAAAAAAAAUGCUUAAUGCCUUUGAAAUUUUGUAAUCAAAAAAAAAAAGCUUUGACAAAUCUAAGGGGAGAGUAUUCUUAAAGUUUUUAACAUAAGCUUGUCGGUGCACAUAUAGAUGGGUAGCAUGUUUAGCAAACCUUGUGAAAUUUAAAUAAGUUUGUAAUUACAUGUGGAAUUCUAAAUGCAUGAUAACUGUUAACGUCAUAAUGGUUUAGUCAUUUUGUUCUGUUCUGUCACGUGCCACAAAAUGUGUAAUUUUUUCACUUUUUUCCCUUUGUAUAUCAGUUACGGGUUUCAACUGGUUCAUUCUAAAAAAAAAACUGAAAAAAAACCAAGAAAAAGAAACAAACCAGUCCAUUGAUAUUUUUUAAUAAUUGUAUAAGUGCCCAAGUAAUUCACUACAGCCUACAGCCUUGCCUUUGUAAUUUGACUUUGAAAUGUUGGCAAUCAAAGCAUGCACUUGUAACAAUGAAAGAAGCAUUUUAUAUUACUACUCAAUAAAACUGUGCAUGAACUUAA